CUACGUGCCAGCAGCCGCGGUAAUACGGAAGGUCCAGGCGUUAUCCGGAUUUAUUGGGUUUAAAGGGAGCGUAGGCCGUUUGAUAAGCGUGCUGUGAAAUUUAGAGGCUCAACCUCUACCGUGCAGCGCGAACUGUCAGACUUGAGUGCGUAGUAGGUAGGCGGAAUUCGUGGUGUAGCGGUGAAAUGCUUAGAUAUCACGAAGAACUCCGAUUGCGAAGGCAGCUUACCGUAUCGCAACUGACGCUGAUGCUCGAAGGUGCGGGUAUCGAACAGGAUUAGAUACCCUGGUAGUCCGCACAGUAAACGAUGGAUGCUCGCUGUUGGCCAUUUUGGUCAGUGGCUUAGCGAAAGCGUUAAGCAUCCCACCUGGGGAGUACGCCGGCAACGGUGAAACUCAAAGGAAUUGACGGGGGCCCGCACAAGCGGAGGAACAUGUGGUUUAAUUCGAUGAUACGCGAGGAACCUUACCCGGGCUUGAAC
rnacentral:rRNA from 1 species